CGGCGAGCGAAACGGAAUCUAGCCCAAACCAAGAGGCUUGCCUCUUGGGGUUGUAGGACAUUCUAUACGGAGUUACAAAGGAACGAGGUAGACGAAGCGACCUGGAAAGGUCCGUCACAGAGGGUAACAACCCCGUAGUCGAAACUUCGUUCUCUCUUGAAUGUAUCCUGAGUACGGCGGAACACGUGAAAUUCCGUCGGAAUCUGGGAGGACCAUCUCCCAAGGCUAAAUACUCCCUAGUGAUCGAUAGUGAACCAGUACCGUGAGGGAAAGGUGAAAAGCACCCCGGAAGGGGAGUGAAAGAGAUCCUGAAACCGUGUGCCUACAAAUAGUCAGAGCCCGUUAAUGGGUGAUGGCGUGCCUUUUGUAGAAUGAACCGGCGAGUUACGAUCCCGUGCGAGGUUAAGCUGAAGAGGCGGAGCCGCAGCGAAAGCGAGUCUGAAUAGGGCGUUUAGUACGUGGUCGUAGACCCGAAACCAGGUGAUCUACCCAUGUCCAGGGUGAAGUUCAGGUAACACUGAAUGGAGGCCCGAACCCACGCACGUUGAAAAGUGCGGGGAUGAGGUGUGGGUAGCGGAGAAAUUCCAAUCGAACCUGGAGAUAGCUGGUUCUCCCCGAAAUAGCUUUAGGGCUAGCCUUAAGUGUAAGAGUCUUGGAGGUAGAGCACUGAUUGAACUAGGGGUCCUCAUCGGAUUACCGAAUUCAGUCAAACUCCGAAUGCCAAUGACUUAUCCUUAGGAGUCAGACUGCGAGUGAUAAGAUCCGUAGUCAAGAGGGAAACAGCCCAGAUCGCCAGCUAAGGUCCCAAAGUGUGUAUUAAGUGGAAAAGGAUGUGGAGUUGCUUAGACAACUAGGAUGUUGGCUCAGAAGCAGCCACCAUUUAAAGAGUGCGUAAUAGCUCACUAGUCGAGUGACUCUGCGCCGAAAAUGUACCGGGGCUAAAUACACCACCGAAGCUGCGAAUUGAUACCAAUGGUAUCAGUGGUAGGGGAGCGUUCUAAGUGCAGUGAAGUCAGACCGGAAGGACUGGUGGAGCGCUUAGAAGUGAGAAUGCCGGUAUGAGUAGCGAAAGACGGGUGAGAAUCCCGUCCACCGAAUGCCUAAGGUUUCCUGAGGAAGGCUCGUCCGCUCAGGGUUAGUCAGGACCUAAGCCGAGGCCGACAGGCGUAGGCGAUGGACAACAGGUUGAUAUUCCUGUACCACCUCUUUAUCGUUUGAGCAAUGGAGGGACGCAGAAGGAUAGAAGAAGCGUGCGAUUGGUUGUGCACGUCCAAGCAGUUAGGCUGAUAAGUAGGCAAAUCCGCUUAUCGUGAAGGCUGAGCUGUGAUGGGGAAGCUCCUUAUGGAGCGAAGUCUUUGAUUCCCCGCUGCCAAGAAAAGCUUCUAGCGAGAUAAAAGGUGCCUGUACCGCAAACCGACACAGGUAGGCGAGGAGAGAAUCCUAAGGUGUGCGAGAGAACUCUGGUUAAGGAACUCGGCAAAAUGACCCCGUAACUUCGGGAGAAGGGGUGCUUUCUUAACGGAAAGCCGCAGUGAAUAGGCCCAAGCGACUGUUUAGCAAAAACACAGGUCUCUGCGAAGCCGUAAGGCGAAGUAUAGGGGCUGACACCUGCCCGGUGCUGGAAGGUUAAGGAGAGGGGUUAGCGUAAGCGAAGCUCUGAACUGAAGCCCCAGUAAACGGCGGCCGUAACUAUAACGGUCCUAAGGUAGCGAAAUUCCUUGUCGGGUAAGUUCCGACCCGCACGAAAGGUGUAACGAUUUGGGCACUGUCUCAACCAGAGACUCGGUGAAAUUAUAGUACCUGUGAAGAUGCAGGUUACCCGCGACAGGACGGAAAGACCCCGUGGAGCUUUACUGUAGCCUGAUAUUGAAUUUUGGUACAGUUUGUACAGGAUAGGCGGGAGCCAUUGAAACCGGAGCGCUAGCUUCGGUGGAGGCGCUGGUGGGAUACCGCCCUGACUGUAUUGAAAUUCUAACCUACGGGUCUCAUCGACCCGGGAGACAGUGUCAGGUGGGCAGUUUGACUGGGGCGGUCGCCUCCUAAAGUGUAACGGAGGCGCCCAAAGGUUCCCUCAGAAUGGUUGGAAAUCAUUCGUAGAGUGCAAAGGCAUAAGGGAGCUUGACUGCGAGACCUACAAGUCGAGCAGGGACGAAAGUCGGGCUUAGUGAUCCGGUGGUU
rnacentral:rRNA from 1 species